rnacentral:rRNA from 1 species
AGCGAACGCUGGCGGCAGGCUUAACACAUGCAAGUCGAACGGGCACUUCGGUGCUAGUGGCAGACGGGUGAGUAACGCGUGGGAACGUGCCUUUCGGUUCGGAAUAAUCCAGGGAAACCUGGACUAAUACCGGAUACGCCCUUCGGGGGAAAGAUUUAUCGCCGAAAGAUCGGCCCGCGUCUGAUUAGCUAGUUGGUGAGGUAAAGGCUCACCAAGGCGACGAUCAGUAGCUGGUCUGAGAGGAUGAUCAGCCACAUUGGGACUGAGACACGGCCCAAACUACUACGGGAGGCAGCAGUGGGGAAUAUUGGACAAUGGGCGCAAGCCUGAUCCAGCCAUGCCGCGUGAGUGAUGAAGGCCUUAGGGUUGUAAAGCUCUUUUGUCCGGGAAGAUAAUGACUGUACCGGAAGAAUAAGCCCCGGCUAACUUCGUGCCAGCAGCCGCAGUAAGAC